GCUCAUGGCACUAGAGUUGGCAAAAGUGGCUAACAGUCAGCCUUCUCACUUAAUCAUCCAUUUAAAAAGUUUCAAGAGGACAGAAAAUUUUGCACGUAUUAUAAAGUGUCAUAUUGAAGAAAUUUCGGGAAGAGAACCUCAAGCUGUUAGAAUUUGUUCAGUGGUGAGUAAAUUGUGCAAAGAGUAUCAAGCUGACAUGAAA
rnacentral:misc_RNA from 1 species